rnacentral:rRNA from 1 species
UACGUAGGUGGCGAGCGUUGUCCGGAAUUACUGGGUGUAAAGGGUGCGUAGGCGGGUAAUUAAGUCAGAUGUGAAAUGCCGAGGCUCAACUUCGGAGCUGCAUUUGAAACUGAUUAUCUUGAGUGAAGUAGAGGCAAGCGGAAUUCCCAGUGUAGCGGUGAAAUGCGUAGAUAUUGGGAGGAACACCAGUGGCGAAGGCGGCUUGCUGGGCUUUAACUGACGCUGAGGCACGAAAGCAUGGGGAGCAAACAGG